rnacentral:rRNA from 1 species
UACGUAGGUGGCAAGCGUUGUUCGGAAUCAUUGGGCGUAAAGGGCGUGUAGGCGGUUUGUUAAGUCAUGUGUGAAAUCCCUCGGCUCAACCGGGGAAGGACGCAUGAAACUGGCAAGCUAGAGUACCAAAGAGGGGGGUGGAAUUCCCGGUGUAGCGGUGAAAUGCGUAGAUAUCAGGAGGAACACCGGUGGCGAAGGCGGAUCUCUGGGCCUUGCCUGACGCUGAGGCGCGAAAGCUAGGGGAGCGAACAGG